UACGAAGGGGGCGAGCGUUGUUCGGAUUUACUGGGCGUAAAGGGCGCGUAGGCGGAUGUUUAAGUCAGCGGUGAAAGCCCAGGGCUCAACCUUGGAACUGCCAUUGAUACUGGACAUCUUGAGUACGGGAGAGGUGAGUGGAACUCCGAGUGUAGAGGUGAAAUUCGUAGAUAUUCGGAAGAACACCAGUGGCGAAGGCGACUCACUGGCCCGUUACUGACGCUGAGGCGCGAAAGCGUGGGGAGCAAACAGG
rnacentral:rRNA from 1 species